CCGAGCCACCCAGACCCCUGUCACACGCAGUAAUUCACAGGAGCCGAGUAGCAGCGGGACCCGGCGGAGUAGCAGGCUCAGCAAGAAAGAUGCUGGUCCCCAAACCCCGCAGGAGAUCCUUAGGCGGAGCAUGAGACAUAAGCUCCAUGAGAGCAUAACCAGAAA